rnacentral:misc_RNA from 1 species
AAGUCGUAACAAGGUUUCCGUAGGUGAACCUGCGGAAGGAUCAUUAUAGUACAACGGAGGCACCUGGGCUGUCGCUGACCUUAAAGGACGUGCACGCCCGGAGUGCUCUCUCACAUCCAUCUCACCCCUUUGUGCAUCACCGCGUGGGGCCCUCUCCUUUGGCUUGUUCCGGGGAGGGGGUUUCACGUUUUUACACGAACAACCCAUUAAUGCAUGUGUAGAAUGUCUUACUUAUUUUAAAUACAA